UUUGGCGACUUGGCAGGGAGCCAGCUUCAAACCACCUCAACUCCAUAUUUUAAAAGACUUGUUAUUAGUUCUGUAGAUCUAACUCUUGCUGUACCACUGUCAAGUGUUUUGGAUGAGUAAAAUUUUGUGUGCUAAUCCUAUUCCCAGCAAAGGCAACUAGAAACUGUAUUUCCCUGUCUGUACCAUGUAGGUAACACUUAUUUUGACCAACCUUUGAGAAGGAGAAAUAAGUUACGUUCAUCAAAUUAUUUGAAAACUCAGAGCAUUAUAAAGAAAUUUCUUAACAGAACUUGUGAAGAACACACCUUUGGUGAAAAAGACAUUCUCCACUCAUCCAUUUGGCUGAAAUGAAGACAAGAAACAGCUGAAUAGGUCCUACAGUGCAUUUGCAUAUUACACCCCUGCAUUCAACAGGCAAACCUACAUCUAAUAAUAAAUACUGAAGAGAACAGAAUGAGUCCAUGGGUGUCAAUGCAGAAAAGAGACUUGAUGCACUAAGAGACUUCAUCUGUCUGACUCCAUCUACCCAGUUAUUUGUCAGAGGAGAUGUGCUUUCAAUAUACUAAACUCUAAGUCUCAUGAAAAUCAACAAGUGUGCAGAGGACUGUAAUCACAUUAACUGACCCACUCCCUAAAAGAAUGGAGCCCAGAUCCAAACCUGAAAUUGAAGAAUCCACAGAGAGAUGUAACAGUGUACACACUUCAACUACAGAAAAGUCCCAGAUAAUCCUCAGAUCAACUGUAAGACUCAAGUCCCUCAGAAGUCCAUACCUUAUGGAACAUCUCCUUCCAGAGUUUAUCUUGUCUUACUUUAAUGUAGCAUCUGCAGAUUGUGCAUCUCACUUCUAGUUUUGAACUUUUUUUGUCUGCUUACAUAUAUUGUUUAAUAAUUUGUAAGUUUAUUUUCUUGCAUUUCUACAUCCAUGAAGACAGUCACCCUUUUGUAUGACUCUCUUUCAGUUAUUAAGCAGUAAAACCUCAAUAAAGUUUUCAAUAACUGUUUCUUCAGCUUGCUUUUAUUCCUUUUGAUGAUAUCUGCUAAAUCUCUUUAUAUUCCCU